UGAAAGCUAUGACGAAUCAUGAAAUUAUAUUCGCAUGUCAGACUUCAGAGACGCCUUGGCGUUAAUGAGAAGAUGUUUCAUGUUCUGAGUGUCCG
rfam:Zea mays cultivar B73 chromosome 5, whole genome shotgun sequence.